rnacentral:rRNA from 1 species
CCUGAGAAACGGCUACCACAUCUAAGGAAGGCAGCAGGCGCGCAAAUUACCCACUCCCGGCACGGGGAGGUAGUGACGAAAAAUAACGAUACGGGACUCAUCCGAGGCCCCGUAAUCGGAAUGAGUACACUUUAAAUCCUUUAACAAGGAUCCAUUGGAGGGCAAGUCUGGUGCCAGCAGCCGCGGUAAUUCCAGCUCCAAUAGCGUAUAUUAAAGUUGUUGCGGUUAAAAAGCUCGUAGUUGAAUCUGUGUUUCACACUGUCGGUUCACCGCUCGCGGUGUUUACUGGCAUGAUGUGGGACGUCCUACCGGUGGGCUUAGCCCUUCGGGGCGGUCCAACUAAUAUCCCAUCGCGUGCUCUUCAUUGAGUGUCGAGAUGGGCCGGUACGUUUUACUUUGAACAAAUUAGAGUGCUUAAAGCAGGCUAGCCUCGCCUGAAUACUGUGUGCAUGGAAUAAUGGAAUAGGACCUCGGUUCUAUUUUGUUGGUUUUCGGAACACCGAGGUAAUGAUUAAUAGGGACAGAUGGGGGCAUUCGUAUUGCGACGUUAGAGGUGAAAUUCUUGGACCGUCGCAAGACGAACUGAAGCGAAAGCAUUUGCCAAAAAUGUUUUCAUUGAUCAAGAACGAAAGUUAGAGGUUCGAAGGCGAUCAGAUACCGCCCUAGUUCUAACCAUAAACGAUGCCAGCUAGCGAUCCGCCGAAGUUCCUCCGAUGACUCGGCGGGCAGCUUCCGGGAAACCAAAGCUUUUGGGUUCCGGGGGAAGUAUGGUUGCAAAGCUGAAACUUAAAGGAAUUGACGGAAGGGCACCACCAGGAGUGAGCUGCGGCUUAAUUUGACUCAACACGGGAAACCUCACCAGGCCCGGACACCGAAGAUUGACAGAUUGAUAGCUCUUUCUUGAUUCGGUGGGUGGUGGUGCAUGGCCGUUCUUAGUUGGUGGAGCGAUUUGUCUGGUUAAUUCCGAUAACGAACGAGACUC